GUUUCAGUAGGCUGAGUGUUAAUAACAAUGGAGGGGAAGUUAGUCCAUCAUCCAACCGAUUGAACUCUCAAAUUAGCUUCUCUUCUUUGCUGCCUUCUUCUCUGGGGAUGUUUCCUCAGAUCUCUGAACAAGUAGUUGGGAAUGAAAAGCUUGUAAAUAGCAAUAAUGGAGAGACUCAGUUCUUUACUCCAUCCGGCUUCCCCUUUGCUUCCUGGAACGAAUCGUCUCAGUUUUCGGAGACUUUUCCCGACAUAAAGCGCGAGCCGGAUAGUAAUAAGAAGCUGUUUUCUAGUAGUCAUCAGAAUGGCGAGAUCGGGAACCGAGUUCAUUUGCUAUCGCACCAUUUGAGUUUACCCAAGAACGCAUCCGAUGUAGCUUCUAUUGAG
rnacentral:misc_RNA from 1 species